UGCCCCAUGGCUGAGUUGGUUACAGCGUCCGACUGUUAUUCGUUGUUUGACCUGUAACAUCGGAAGGUCGUGAGUUCGAGCCUCACUGGGGCAG